AAAUUUAUAAUCUCCGCACCUUCGGUGUCCGAGUUGUAAUCUCUAGAAAUGUUUUCCGCGUUGGACCGCACACAAGUCUGUUGGAAUACAGCGGCAUAGUGGUGAGACCCCCGUAUAUGGUGCGGACGCCCAGCGCUUUGUGAUACAUUUUCGAAGAGUCGAGUUGUUUGGGAAUGCAGCUCAAAUUGGGUGGUAAAUUCCAUCUAAAGCUAAAUAUUGGCGAGAGACCGAUAGCGAACAAGUACCGUGAGGGAAAGAUGAAAAGCACUUUGGAAAGAGAGUUAACAGUACGUGAAAUUGUUGGAAGGGAAACGCUUGAAGUCAGACUUGCUUGCCGAGCAAUCGGUUUGCAGGCCAGCAUCAGUUUUCCGGGAUGGAUAAUGGUAGAGAGAAGGUAGCAGUUUCGGCUGUGUUAUAGCUCUCUGCUGGAUACAUCUUGGGGGACUGAGGAACGCAGUGUGCCUUUGGCGGGGGUUUCGACCUCUUCACACUUAGGAUGCUGGUGGAAUGGCUUUAAACGAC
rnacentral:rRNA from 1 species